GGGGAAUAUUGCACAAUGGAGGGAACUCUGAUGCAGCGACGCCGCGUGAGCGAUGAAGGCCUUCGGGUCGUAAAGCUCUGUCCUAUGGGACGAUAAUGACGGUACCAUAGGAGGAAGCCCCGGCUAACUACGUGCCAGCAGCCGCGGUAAUACGUAGGGGGCGAGCGUUGUCCGGAAUUACUGGGCGUAAAGGGUACGCAGGCGGCCAUGUAAGUCAGAUGUGAAAGGUCACGGCUCAACCGUGGUAAGCAUUUGAAACUGUGUGGCUUGAGUUAAGGAGAGGAGAGUGGAAUUCCUGGUGUAGCGGUGAAAUGCGUAGAUAUCAGGAGGAAUACCAGUGGCGAAGGCGACUUUCUGGACUUAAACUGACGCUGAGGUACGAAAGCGUGGGGAGCAAAC
rnacentral:rRNA from 1 species